UACCAUCCAUGAUUAUCUCUGAUGAAUUAGUAAUAAACUAAAGUGCAGUUAUCAUUUUUUAUGGUUUACUUGCAACUGGAAUCAAUCAUAGCAGGUACAUUUCAUUCCUUAUUACCAUUAGGAGCUGUAUGCUGGGAACGUGUGUGUUCAUGUUCACCUGAUCAUCAUCUUCUACCACCACAAGUGUCAGUUUGCUCUUCUUAAAAUCCAGACAGGUGAUCUUGGGCC